rnacentral:rRNA from 1 species
GAUGAACGCUGGCGGCGUGCCUAAUACAUGCAAGUCGAGCGAACAGACGAGGAGCUUGCUCCUCUGACGUUAGCGGCGGACGGGUGAGUAACACGUGUAUAACCUACCUAUAAGACUGGGAUAACUUCGGGAAACCGGCUCUAAUACCGGAUAAUAUAUUGAACCGCAUGGUUCAAUAGUGAAAGACGGUUUUGCUGUCACUUAUAGAUGGAUCCGCGCCGCAUUAGCUAGUUGGUAAGGUAACGGCUUACCAAGGCGACGAUGCGUAGCCGACCUGAGAGGCGGAUCGGCCACACUGGAGCUGAGACACGGUCCAGACUCCUAAGGGAGGCAGCAGUAGGGAAUCUGCCGCAAUGGGCGAAAGCUUGACGGAGCAACGCCGCGUGAGUGAUGAAGGUGUUCGGAUCGUAAAACUCUGUUAUUAGGGAAGAACAAAUGUGUAAGUAACUAUGCACGUCUUGACGGUACCUAAUAAGAAAGCCACGGCUAACUACGUG